CUUGAGCGCGCCCAGCCACAAGGGUUCGCCCCCGGCCCGGUCCGCCCCGUAGGCGGCCAGCACGGCCUGUGCCUC
rnacentral:antisense_RNA from 1 species